UUCAUGCCAAGAGGGUUGCUAUUAUGGCUAAGGAUAUCCAGCCUGUGAGGAGGAUUAGGGGUGAACGUGUGUAAAUGGGUUUGAUCUAGAUCUGUCUUUUUGGAGGGUUUCAUAUUGAUGAUGGCUGUGUAAACUUUGUUUCAAUCAGUAGAUGAGUAUCUUCAAAACUCCUGGUUUAGAUCUGUCUUUUUGGAGGGUUUCAUAUUGAUGAUGGCUGUGUAAACUUUGUUUCAAUCAGUAGAUGAGUAUCUUCAAAACUCCUGGUUUAGAUCUGUCUUUUUGGAGGGUUUCAUAUUGAUGAUGGCUGUGUAAACUUUGUUUCAAUCAGUAGAUGAGUAUCUUCAAAACUCCUGGUUUAGAUCUGUCUUUUUGGAGGGUUUCAUAUUGAUGAUGGCUGUGUAAACUUUGUUUCAAUCAGUAGAUGAGUAUCUGCAAAACUCCUGGUUUGCUACUGUAAUGAAAUUGAUGAUUAAUUGAAUCUACAUUUUAUUCUGUUC
rnacentral:lncRNA from 1 species